rnacentral:rRNA from 1 species
GUAGCUAAUACCGCAUAACGUCGCAAGACCAAAGAGGGGGACCUUCGGGCCUCUUGCCAUCGGAUGUGCCCAGAUGGGAUUAGCUUGUUGGUGGGGUAACGGCUCACCAAGGCGACGAUCCCUAGCUGGUCUGAGAGGAUGACCAGCCACACUGGAACUGAGACACGGUCCAGACUCCUACGGGAGGCAGCAGUGGGGAAUAUUGCACAAUGGGCGCAAGCCUGAUGCAGCCAUGCCGCGUGUAUGAAGAAGGCCUUCGGGUUGUAAAGUACUUUCAGCGGGGAGGAA